rnacentral:rRNA from 1 species
UAAGACGAAGGAUGCAAGCGUUAUCCGGAUUCAUUGGGUUUAAAGGGAGCGUAGGCGGACUUGUAAGUCAGUGGUGAAAUCUGUGGGCUUAACCCACAAACUGCCAUUGAUACUGCAGGUCUAGAGUACAGUUGCCGUUGGCGGAAUAUGACAUGUAGUGGUGAAAUACUUAGAUAUGUCAUAGAACACCGAUUGCGAAGGCAGCUAACGAAGCUGUAACUGACGCUGAGGCUCGAAAGUGCGGGGAUCAAACAGGAUUAGAUACCCUGGUAGUCCGCACUGUAAACGAUGAUUACUCGUUGCUGGGGAGCAAUUUCCAGUGACCAAGCGAAAGCGAUAAGUAAUCCACCUGGGGAGUACGCCGGCAACGGUG